rnacentral:rRNA from 1 species
GUGGGGAAUAUUGGACAAUGGGCGAAAGCCUGAUCCAGCCAUGCCGCGUGUGUGAAGAAGGUCUUCGGAUUGUAAAGCACUUUAAGUUGGGAGGAAGGGCAGUAAGCUAAUACCUUGCUGUUUUGACGUUACCGACAGAAUAAGCACCGGCUAACUCUGUGCCAGCAGCCGCGGUAAUACAGAGGGUGCAAGCGUUAAUCGGAAUUACUGGGCGUAAAGCGCGCGUAGGUGGUUCGUUAAGUUGGAGGUGAAAUCCCCGGGCUCAACCUGGGAACUGCCUCCAAAACUGCAUGGCUAGAGUACGGUAGAGGGUAGUGGAAUUUCCUGUGUAGCGGUGAAAUGCGUAGAUAUAGGAAGGAACACCAGUGGCGAAGGCGACUACCUGGACUGAUACUGACACUGAGGUGCGAAAGCGUGGGGAGCAAACAGGAUUAGAAACCCGGGUAGUCC